CAUACUAUUAAUAUUUUAUUGAUGACCGUCGACUUUUGAUUUUUGAAUAAUUCGAUUAUUUGAAAUUUGAAAAGAAGACUACAUACGACGAGUUAGAAGAAAAUUAACAGACAAACAAAAGAUUUGGAGACGUUGCGGUUAAUGAUUUUAAUUCACCCAGACUAGCCAUAGCAACUUAAUAAUGUAUAAUUCACUCACACUUAUUUCAUACAAAAGGAUUAUACUUAUUAUGGUUUUCAAAACUGAAAUAUAUAAUGUGCUACAUACAAGGAGCUAGGUAGUGGAGCCAAUGUAUUGACAAUUUUACAGACGUUGACUUUUUAAAGAUAAUUCUGCCGGUUCAGAUGAAGCCAUACAAUACUGGAGUGAAUUAUGAAACUUAAAGGUUGCCGACAUAAAUAAUAUAAUAUAAUGAAAAGGUCAUCUAUAUACUAAGCACCGACCAUGGGCAAGGUCUAUCUAUUUUAAAUCAUGAUGUUAACCUUGCAGCUUAGAAUCUAUAGGGUUUAGGGUAGAACGACUGUAAAUUGGAAUCGUUUCCUUUUAAAUCCUGGUUCGCGGAACAGCGUUCAUCGGACUUCAAUAAAAUUUAAUGCCCGCCACCGAGUUGUACCUCCAAUUGUUGCCGACGUUUGAAUCACUCACAAAUUACAAUUAUAUGAAAUUUGAACAGAAAUGCGGACUACAUUCGUACAGAGUUGAAUUCAUACAUUUUAGAAAAAAAUGUCCAUGCAUAAGUGUAAAACAUCCAAAGUAUCGUCUCGGCACACUACCUUAAUUUUCAUUUAUUUUCAAAAAAUGAAAAUAGAAAGAAAUAAUGGGUAAACAUCUUCGAAUUAAAUGAUUAUCCCAAUUUCUGUCUGUCAUAGAAUCUGCGGUAAUCAUUUAUCAUUUCACAAUCAGUGAUUAUAAACAAUGUUCAGUAAAUUAGUAAAUAUGGUCAGAGGCUGUCUGAAAACUUAAACCAAACCACUUGUCUGGGAUAGAGAAGUAAAAUAAAUGUUAGUAAUUCAUGGCAAAAUUGGUACUACUCUGAGCACGACUAGUAAAUCGCAUCUAAGAGAAAAUUUUGUUUCUACAACGAUGAAUUAGAAGAAAAUGAACACACGAAUAAAAGAUUUGGAGUCCAUACAGUUGAUUAUUUUAAUUCACCCAGAAAAGCCUUAGAUACCCAAUAAUGUCUAAUUCACACACACUUAUAACUGAAAUAUAUGAUGUACCACAUACAAGGAGCUAGGUAGUGGAGACAGAAAGCAGAGUUCUAUUCAUACAUUUUAGUACAAAAUCACCAUGAAUAAGAGUAUUCUUUUCAGUAAAACAUCCAAUGUAUCGCCUUGCCACAUUACGUUAAUCUUCAUUUGUUUCCAAAAAAUGAAAAUAGAAGGAAAUAAUGGCUAAACAUCUUCAAAUUAAAUGAUUAUCCCAAUUUCUAUUUGGCAUAGAAUCUGCGGUAAUCAUUUCACAAUUAGUGAUUGUAUACAAUGCUCUCAAAACAUAAUCCAAACCACUUGUCUCGGAUGGAGGAGUUAAUUAAAUUUUAGUAAUUUACAGCGACAUUGGUAUUAUUCUAAGCACGACUAGUAAUUCGCAUCAAAGAGAAAAUUGUGUUUCUCGAACGAUGAUAAACCUACAAACAAAGGAUUUGGAGACGUUACAAUUUAUGAUUUCAAUUCACCCAAAAAACCCAGAAAAAAGCCUUAGAUACUCAAUAAUGUCUUAUUCACACACACUUAUGUAAUUAGACAUAUCACCUCGAUAUAUUUAAAUUGCAAAUAAACACAUAACUAGUUUGGACUUCAGUAUCUUUUCUAUAGGAAAAGUUAUUCUAGUUGGAUUACAGGUAAAAAUUGAAAAUUCUUAGGUGUUUUCAAAUACAUUGGGAAAAACAAAUAAAUAAUUAAGGAAAAAUGGUUAU
rnacentral:lncRNA from 1 species